rnacentral:rRNA from 1 species
GUCAGGAUGAACGCUAGCUACAGGCUUAACACAUGCAAGUCGAGGGGCAGCAUGAAAGUGCUUGCAACUUUGAUGGCGACCGGCGCACGGGUGGAGUAACGCGUAUCCAACCUUCCCUAUACUAGAGGAUAGCCCGGCGAAAGUCGGAUUAAUACUCUAUGUUGUUCGAUGCGGACAUCUAAGUUGAACCAAAGGUUUACCGGUAUAGGAUGGGGAUGCGUCUGAUUAGGUUGUUGGCGGGGUAACGGCCCACCAAGCCCACGAUCAGUAGGGGUUCUGAGAGGAAGGUCCCCCACAUUGGUACUGAGACACGGACCAAACUCCUACGGGAGGCAGCAGUGAGGAAUAUUGGUCAAUGGGCGAGAGCCUGAACCAGCCAAGUAGCGUGCAGGAUGACGGCCCUAUGGGUUGUAAACUGUCUUUUGGCCGGGGAUAAAGUGCAGUACGUGUACUGUUUUGUAUGUACCCGGAGAAUAAGGACCGGCUAAUUCCGUGCCAGCCGCAGC